rnacentral:misc_RNA from 1 species
ACAUUUGUUUAAUUUUACCAUUUUAUCACAAAGCCUAAACCUGAAGCGCCACACCUAAUUCAAGAACUAGUAAACUUGGUCACAGCCUUGGUACCCUCAGAGACAGCAUGUUUAGCCAAUUCCCCAGGAAGCACCAAUUUUACGGCAGUUUGGAUCUCCCUCGAAGUAAUAGUGGGUUUCUUGUUGUACCUAGCAAGUCUCGAGGAUUCCUGUGCAAGCUUCUCGAAGAUAUCGUUGAUAAAAGAGUUCAUUAUGCCCAUGGCCUUGCUAGAGAUCCCGAUGUCAGGGUGCACCUGCUUCAGAACCUUGAAUAUGUAGAUCUUGUAAGUUUCUACGUUCUUCUUCGUGCGCUUCUUCUUCUUGUCCCCAGCCGAAGCGCCGCCUUCUUUAGGUAGCUUUUUGCCGGCCUUCGGCUUUUUCUCUGCCGGAGCUUUCUCCGCUACCGUCUUCUUCUCUUCCGCCGGUUUCUU